rnacentral:lncRNA from 1 species
AAAAUUUUGAAAAAUGGCAAGCAUUUGUCUGCCGAUUUUAAAACAAAUCUAUUUAGAGUGGCUACUCACCCAGUUAGUUGUUGCACCUCCUUUAUGUUUCUAAGCGAGUUCAUUGUGAGUAGAGAUUGAAUUUGAUCUAAGUUUGCCUAAAUUCCUUAUUUAGUUACUAGGAAACCAAGAAAGUUUCCCAAUGAUACUCCAAAGAUACACUUCGAGAGGUUAAGCAUCAUACGAUGUUUUUGUAGGAUAUCAAAUGUUUACUUUAAAUGGGCGAUGUGAUCCGUUGCUUUAAGGCUUUGACCAGCAUGUCGUUUAUGUAGACCUCUAUUAUUUUUUUGAUCAUCUUCUAGAAUAUUUUUUUGACCAAUCUCUAGUAUGUUGCCCUAGUGUUCUUCAACCCAAAAGGCAUGCCUUUGUAGCAAUAUAUUCUCUUUCCGUGAUGAAAGAAGUCUUCUCUAUGUUAAGAGAAUGUAUUUUGAUCUGAUGACCAUAAAAAGGAGUCCAUGAAAUUAAGGAAUUCAAGUUUGGAAAUUGCAUCAAUGAUCAAAUCAAUUUUGGGUAGAGAAAAACUGUCUUUGGGGUAGGCCUUAUUCAGGUCAGUAAAGUCAACACAUACAUUCCACUUGACCCUUUUUUGGGGCGACGAUGACGUUGGCCAACCAAUCUAGGUAAUGGGAUUCCCUAACGACAUCGACCUUAAUGAGCUCAACCAUUUCUUCUUCUAUGACCUUCAAUCAUUCAGGAGCAAACUUUCUUCUCUUUUGGCAAACUAGAGGAUGAUCAGGGUCGGUGAAUAGCUUGUAAAUGGCAAUCUGAGGGUCUAUUCCUAGGACAUCGCCUUGUGACCAUGCAAAAACAUCAUAGUUUUUCUUUAAAGACUUUACCAGAGUACUCCGCAGUCCCUCAGUCAAUUCAGUCACAAUCAUGACAUGGCGAUCUGGGUAGUCGGGAUGUAUAAACAUUGGAGCCACUUCCUCUAGAGGCCUGAUAUUUUCUGUAUCUCGGGGAUCGAUAAGGGGGUGUCUUCUAUUUCGUCCCUCAGUGCCCCCGUCUAGGCAUCAUCAAUUUAUAAUUGUUAUCAUACACUUGGCUUAGAAGUGAAGCUAGUAUUGUCACGCCCCGGUCAAAUCAAGACCCGGCCACGUAAGCAAACAACCCAAAUUAGAAAAAGUCAAACUAAGUAACAUAAUAAUAUACAAUCAUUACAUCAGAGUACGACAACCAAUCCCUCCCAUGGGACCAUGCUCUCCAUGAGCUAUCAAAUACAAAUAAGUGAUAUCCUAUGGACAAUACCCACACCGGGCCAAUGGAGAAUUCAUCUCCGGGUGGUGGUACUCUAUCAAAUCCUCAAGAAAGACAUCCGAAAAAAUUCACAAACCCUGGGUGGGGGGAUGGCAAGGGCCAAACUAACUACGCUACCCUCAUCGACCAAACACGCUGAGAAAAGAAAAUCAACUCCCCUUGCCUACGCACAUUAGUUAGCCGAGGGACAAAACCACGGACCUCGAUCUCCCACGAAAUAAAAACGAUCUCCUUUGUGUACAAAAAGGUAACUCGAUGCGGACACAGUCUAUCAUAGCCCGAUAGCUGUCAACCAAGCCAUACCAGGAUUACGUCAAACGAAGUCAUGUCUAAUACAAUAAAAUUGAACACGAAGCGUCAAAUCAGCAAUCUCAAACCUCACAAGAUCUACAACUCUCUGCAAAUUCGAUACCCCCAACUGGAGUAUCACAUAAACUGAAUCUAAUACAUCAAUCUCUAAUCCAAUGCCAAAGCAAAAGAUUGAUGAGAGGACUGAAGGUUGAUGCCCCGUGUCGAUGAGAACUACGAGCACGAGUUAUUAAAUAAACAUAAGUAAAGUACCUCGACAACCGAUGUAUCCCCAAUUGCCGGCGUCUGCGUCCGUUUUGUCCCCGACGGAGUACCGCGAUGAUGUCAUAGCAAUAAACCCGUCCAUGUGUCCUGACCCGGCUGAGCUACGCCUGGUGGUCUGGAAUAAUAUGAAGUCGUUGCUGAUGUAAACGUCUGGAGUAGCCUCGAGGCCUGAACUGAGGAGUAGUAGGUUGUGCGAUCCCGGUAGCUACACGGGAUGUUUUCUCCCUCUGCGUGCAUUAUCGACUGAUAUUGCCCCACAUGACCCCACGAUAGCAGGUAGGUGGCCCUUGAUAGUGAUGGUCCCUAUGCCUAAUGUGAGAUUGUACCCUUGGUGCAACUGCCGGUUGAUGACCAACCAAAACAAAUCGGCCUCCCCAAGAGUUUGCCAGAUGAUAUAACAAAUGUGGCGGUCAAACCCUCGUAGGAUAUGUUGGUGUGCCGUAUAGGUCCUUGGCUUCUUAGAAGAACGACCCUCGACUGAUUGCUAGUGCCCUCACGCUGUGAUUAGGAUUGAAUCUUUCUAAGUCUCGUUAAAGUCUCCUCAAUGGCUGCCGCUGCGCUGACAUAGUCGAGUAAACUUGAUCAAAUUUCCUGCCAAUAUUAUUAUUAUGGACGGCCUAAGCCCUCGCAUAAACAUUUCGCGUCUCCUCUUCAUCGUACAAACGCUUUUGCAAACCUGACAGUAGUAAACCUGGCCUCAUAUUGAGCACAGUCAUGCUCAUUGAACCAAAUUAAUUAAAUUACAUGCUAAACGUCUCCUUAGCCGUAUCCUUAAAAUACUGCUUCAGGACAGGCCUUCUUGAAAGGCUCCACUUCUUGCUACCACUUCCUCCAUGGGUUCUUCCACCAUGAGGGCAUUCCCCCUGCAGUUGAUAGGAUGCAAACAACACGCUCCAAGCUUCCUCAGUCACUAAGAUGAUAUCCAAUGCUCUUGUUGACUUGUUCCAAGCCAAUCUUCCGCAACCAAUGGAUACGGUUUCCCUUGAAAGUGGGUGGGACGUAGUUGCAAGAAAGGCACUUAAUGUUGUGGGUAGCCCUAUCUCUGCCGUUCUAAUUAGCAUUUGCAUAGUGUUCUCACACUCUUCGAUGGCGGUGACACUACAUUGCAUUAAAUUAAAUUUAGCGCAUUCCAAAACGAGGUGGAACACCUCUCCCAUUCCCUCCAGGGAAGAAACGGGGACUGUUUUUACAAAGCGCUGUCGUACAUCCCAUCACCAACUAUUGGUGAUUCCCAUCAUCUUCCUCGUUCAUGAUUUCUACGAGCCCCACAUGCUUCCACGAGCCCCACUAGCUCCCGUAAGUUAUUUCGCGGAACUCUCGCAUUAGUAGUGGCAGGUUUUACUCAAUGCACAAAGAAAAUAAUAGAUAAUCAUAUCAAUUAUGAUAAGUCAUAAACAUUGCUAACAUAAGGAAAUUACAAUAAAUGUAGACGUAUGUUCAUUGUAUCCCACUAUCGCCCAUAGAUAACACCCAUGUUACCCCCUCAAAAAAUACGUUUUAGACAGAAAUCAAACGUGGUCUAACCACCUCACGGCUCAUAGGUAUUCGAACUAGAGAUCUGAUACCAUGUUGUCAAGCCCCGGGUCAAAAACCAAGACCCUGCCAAGUAAGCAAAAUAAACUCCAAAUACGGUCGAAAAUCAAACUAAAGUACACAUAUAAUAAUAUACAAUCAUUACAUAAUUAGUUAUCGGCACUAAUCCCUCCCGUAGGGACCAUUGAUCUCCAUGAGUAUCAAAUAUAAACAAUGUUGAUAGCCCCAUGGACCAUGCCCACACCGGGCCAAAAAGAAUAAUUACAAUUGUCAAAAUAAAUAUUCCUUAACAUGUGUAUCCCAAACAAAAAACACUACAACAACCAUGGGCCUCACGCUUUCAUCCGGUACCUGAAAAUUCAUUUAUUAGUAAGGUGAGUUACCUGAAAAGAGUAACAAUGGCCUUGAGCAUCACAGCCAAAAACAUGAUACAUAAUAAUAGAUUGACGAAACAUGAUGUAAAAAUACUAUGCCUUCAUCUACCAAAAACAGAUUACCAAUCCGUGUGAUUUCGCAAACAUCCAGUUUACCAUAGUCCUUUGAAUGACACACUUAGGCCAUUUCCUCACCAAACUCGUUAUGCACUAGCACGUGAGAUAAUCCCCGUCAACUUCCGGAAUUUCCGUGGGCUAUGACAUUCCCCCGUCUCGUUGGCCAUCUAGGACUUUCGUUUGUCAACUUUCGGACGUUCACUGUGGGCUAUGAACAUUCCCUCAGUACCAAUUGUAUUCUAGGACUUUACUUCGGCUUAAUCCAAACCAUCUUAUUCGGUACACUAAGGUCUAAACUCGACAUAUCCUAAUUCCCACGCAGCAUAAACUUUAUAUGUCUCCAUAAGUCCAACCAUACAUCCAUUUUUCAUUAUCACAUAAAUAAACCGACAUACAAUAUAUGCAUUCAAACCCAUCACAUACAUAAGCCAUUAUUGAACAAACUCAUAACCAUUCACAUAAACCUUAAACUCACAAUUCCAAGUACCCACCAAAUUUUACAUUCUUUAACUUUUCAUAUAGCAAUUGAAAUUAUUAAAAUUUUAUGUAACAAUAAAAUAUACAAAAUAUCCUCAGUGCUAAAAUUAAAGCCUUUUAAAAAAAAAUAAUUUCUUUUAAUUUUUUUUAAUUUCAAAAAUUUUAGGUGUCGACACAUGAAAAUCUCGUGUCGACACCAAAGGUCAGUAGCCAAAAACUUCACAUUUCCUGCUCAAGGUGUCGAUACCAGUGUCAGCACCAAAGUCAGUAGCCAAAAUAUGAAUUUUCACUAUUUAAGUUGUCGACACCAGUGUCGACACAAAUGCAGUGCAAAUUUCUACUAUUGCCUUCAAGGUGUAGACACAAACCUCGUAGGGUCGACACCAACCAUCAGUUCUAGAUUUUCUAAUUCUCCUCUCAAAGGUUGUCGGGCACCAACAUCCUAUGUGGGACACCCCAAACACAAAACACCAAAUUUCACGAUUCUAAAUGUCUCUAAAUCAAAGUUUUGUCAUUUAGGGUUCUAUACUAAAAUAUUUUCUCAAUAGACUUGAUAUAAGCCUUAACAAACAAUCCCAAAGUUAAAACCCCACAAGGAAAAACCCCCUUACCUUCAAAUCCAAAAAUGCCAGCCUCCACAAACAAUGGUGAGGCCCAAAAUUACGAUUGCUCCGAUUCUGAUGUUCUUGGCUCUUACACGUAGACCUCGUCGAGUAGAUAAUAUUUUCCAAAGAACCCACUAUCACAAUUCAUCUAACUCUCUUGAAUCUAGCUCACAAAUGCAAAAUCUUUUGGCUCAAAACUAGAGAGAGAAAGGGAAAGAAGAAGAAGAUGGCAAUAAAUGCCAAAAAAAAUAAUAUGGCAUUUAAGUGUUUAGGUUAAAAUAGAAAAUGACCUAAAUGCCCCCCGUGGGCCUUGGAAAUUUGUUUGGCCCAAGUAACAAAUCCAACUAAAUUCAACAUAUUGGGUCCAAUUAAUUUGGCCCUGUCCUUACCACACCCAACUUCAAUCCAAAAUAAAUUCAACUUCAUUUUAUAAUAUGGAUAGUGUUCUAUAUAAUAUAUACAUGGACAUCACACUUGCAUCUUAAUUACGUCAUAAAAAGAAAAAGAAAAAAUUUGAACCCUUAACAAGUAUAAUUGAUAUAAUAAAGAUUGCCUUGCAAUUCUUUGGUCGCCCCUCACCUCGCCUUCUUUUGUCGAAAUGGAAAACUUGAUCACCAUAAGGUAAUAAAUAGAAGUGAUGGCCUUGAUCUUUCCUAAGGUUGGGCAUCCUAAAUUAACAUUGUAAGGCGAUGGGCAAUCCACGAUGAUAAAAUCUUGCCAUACAGUAGUCUGAUGGGGCUUGCCCCUAAAGUCAUGGGCAACUUGAUCCACCCAAGAGGAUUUAUAGAGCUCCCUCUAAAUUCGACCAGAGGGGUGUGGAAUAGGUGGAGUCUAUCUUGUUUUAUCUUCAUCUUGUCGAAUGCCGAGACGAACAGAAUAUCCAAAGAACUCCCGUUGUCAACCAAGAUCCUCUGAACGUUGAAAUUGGCGAUUAUGGCCGAGAUGACCAAUGCAUCAUCAUGGAGGAGAUGUAAACCCCUUAAGUACUCAUUGGUUAAGGUGAUGGGCUUAUGCAUUCCAGUAGCAGAAGUAGAGAGGUUGUAUACUUCCUCCUCAGCUCGCCCAUUCGCCUCUCUUGCAUGCCCAUUUCGAGAUAAGCUGGAACAUCCCCCCUAAUGGAAAUCUUCCAUGAAUAGUUUGAAUAUCACUUACCGUCGACUUGUUAUCAACAUAUCUCUUGCCACGUGAAUCAAGUCGCGGGUGAUCAAUGACAAACUUCCUCAAAUAUCCCUUCUUAAUUAGGUUGGUUAUCCACUCCUUUAACUGAAAGCAAUCUUCUGUGUUGUGACCAUGAUCAUUAUGGAACUCAUAGUACUUGUUCUUAUUCCUCCUAAGGGGGCUAGUCUUGAUCUUUCCAGGCCACUUUACAAAGUCCUCAUUCAUAAUUUCGAUGAGCACUUAGGCUAUAGGAGCGCUGAGAGGAGGCAACACUAGGUGAGUCGGCGUGGUGGAGUGUGAGGGCGACAUUCAUUAAUUCUCUCCCUCGCAUCUCGUCCAGACCUUUUGCUUUUCACCUCGUCCCUGAUUGAUGAGUUUUGGUAUCCUUCCUUUUAUGGUCGUCCCUACCUCUUCUUCUAUGCUUGGCCUUAGCUCCUCUACCGAAAUUUAUUUGUCGGCCUUACUCUGGAGCGUCGACAAGGUUUCGGAGAAUUCUUGGAGAGGGAAUCGAACAAUGGACCAAACCGAAGUCCCUCCAUCAUUGCCAUGACCACCAUUUUGUCACUAGGGUCUUCCACCUCUAGAACAGACUAAUUAAAACGCUUGACAUAGUCUUUUAAGCUCUCUCAUCUUUUUGAUGAACUGUGAAGAGAUGGGAGGCAUUCUGCUGUCUGACCCUACAACUCAUAAAAUUGGCGACAAAAAGCCUACUUAGGUCUCCAAAUGAGUUAAUGGUCCUUAAAGACAACUUUCUGAAUCAUGACCUCGCUGGCCCCUUCAAAGUAGCUGAAAAAGCCUUACACAUCACCUCAUCCAAGUACCCUGAAGCGAUAUUAAAUUCUUGUACGAGUCUAAGUGGUCUAUGGGAUCUGUCUUCACUUCAUAUACUCCAAGUUGGGAUGGCAAUUUGAAUCUGGAAAAGACCUAACUCUCAUCACUCGAUCUGUGAACGAAGGUUCGGUCUUACUUAUCAAGGCAUCCAUAAUGAUUAGGGCAUUUGCACCGGUGUUGAUGGCAUUAAUUCGAGUAUCCAGGUCCUUAAUCUUCUAGGUGAUGGAUUUAUCUUGGUGUCUGGGCUCUCGGUCAUCUUAGCAAGGUGAUUUUUCACUUCUCCUGAUUUCUUAUUCGUCGUGUCCAGAGUUUAUCUAGAUGACUAAGAUUCUAACAUGACAAGACUCCUUUCGUGCCUGGAGUGCAAACUCAUUGACUAGCGUGGACGACUUCUAGCUGAAUUUCUCUGACUAGUGCUAUGGCGACUAUAAGAAUCCUGAUCGCCUAUUCUUAAGAGUGACGAGACCGAUCAACUUCUUUCGGAAUAGGUGCGAUAGGAUGAGGUAGAUUAUUUGUGGUGAGGUGCUGCACUAGACGGGCAUUAAUCUCAUUCAUAACCUUAAUCUACUCAGCAACUCCGUGCAUCUUAUAAUGAAUGAUACCUUCCAAAUCUAGAGCUUGACUAGUGUUAGUCAUUGUACGUGCUCUAUUGUUUAAAAGGCUACUGAUAUGGUCUAGGUAACAAACGGCUGCGCAGGUGUAUAGAAAGUUAAGAACUAUCAUUCUCAUAGACGAUGCCAAACUAUUAUGGUAGAAAUCUGGGAUGAGCAACCAAUAGUUUGAAUUACUCCUUAAGCUUGGUAUUUGUCCUCGGUAAUGGCUUGUGAGAGAGAACAAAUGUUACUAGCCGGGGUGAGGCUGCUAUAAACUCUUUCAGCAUAAAGAUGAGAUCAAGGCGAGCAAACUAGACUGAGCAGAAUAGAGAAUAAUGAAGUUAUAGCUCAAAGAGAGAGAAAGAGUAGUUAUCCCUUCCUAUUGGAUGGUGAAUGGCCUUUUAUGGACGAAGAAUUUACAGCCGCACGAGAAGAUCAUCGAGCAACCAAGUAUGGAAGCCGUGUCAGAGGAUCUCGGAGUAAAAGGGGGAAUUCCCAUAUGGAGAGAGCACCGCAAAGAUAGGAGACCUGAUGGAGAUGGAGUUACAGUUGCUUCAACCUUAAAGUGAUGGGUGAGAUAACCAUCUCGGUCAAGGAUGACAUGAAGAUUGAGGAAAGAUGAGGUUAUUCAGAGAACUUGGGAGGACUCAGCAACGACCAAAGUGAGAUUCUAGCAACAUGGUCUCCAUAGGGGCGAUGUGUUAAUCUCAGAACAGCAGGUGGGGAUUUUACCCCUCAUCAAAAGUAAACUUUAAUUGAUAGACUCUUGACAAUUAUGCUUUGAAGUGACUAAAUUAUUUUUAUAAUUAUAUCUAUAAGAAAUCAUAAAAGAGCUAUAAAGAUUCAUAAAAAUACUAAACAAUUUAAUAGAAUUCAUAACAUAUCUAUUUUUAACAAAACAUCUCAUACCAAAAUCAAUACGAUUCAUAAUAAAACCAAUACAAUUUAUACAAACAAGUUUAACUCGCUAUUCAAGUUACAAUUAUUAGUUAUUAAUUUAUUUAAAAAUUUAUCAUCUAAUGACUAUUAAAUGAGUGUGUAUUGUAGGCUAAAUUUUUCAAAAAGCCUACUCAGGUCACCAAACCAAUCAAUAGUUUUAGGAGACAACUUUCUGAACCAUGACUUCACUGGUCCCUUUAAAGUUGCUGAAAAAGUUUUACACAUCACCUCAUUUGAAUACCCUUGGAGCAUCAUCAAGUUCUUGUACCAGGUGGUCCAUGGGAUCUGUCUUUCCUUUGUAUACCCCGAGCUGGGAUGGCAAUUUGAACCUGGACAAAACUUUGACCUUCAUGACUCCUUUUGUGAAUGAAGUCUCGGUUUGCCUUAUCAAGGCAUCCACAGUAAUAAGGGUGUUUAUGCCGAUAUUGAUGGCGUCGAUCUGAGCAUUCAGGUCUUUAAUAUUCUGGGUAAUAGACUUAUCACAGUGCCUGUGAGCUCGGUCAUUUAGGCUAGGUGAUCUCCUGAGGCUCCUAGUCUCCUCGUCUAUCAUUACAGGUAUCAAAUGUGCUUGUCGUGUCAUGCCGUGCCACUUUUUUCAUCCAUGCCAACCGUGCUUUAGGUCGUGCCAAGCCCAUUUACUUAAUUGUGCCAUGUCAUGCAUUUUUUAAUUGUGUCGUGCUGUGUCGUGCUAUUUUUAUUUAUUCGUGUCAUGUUGUGCUGUGCCGUGCCAUUUUGUAACUGUGUCAUGCCAUGCUUUCCUAUUUACUUAAUCGUGUCGUGUCGUACUAGCCUGCUUACUUAAUCGUGUCAUGUUGUACUGGCCUGCUACCUUAGUCAUGUGACUCGUGUCGUGUCACGCCAUGCUCGUAUUUUAAUCGUGUUGUUUCAUGCCGUGUCCGUUUUUUAAUCGUGUCGUACUGUGCCGGCUUAUUUAACCGUGUGACUCAUGUCACUUGACUCAGAAAGUCGCACUAUUGCCCAUAAAUAGUGCAUAAUUAUACAUUAAAUUGCACAGCAGCCAUAUGAAUAAAUGAAUCAAUGUCCCAGAGGAGGAUGGCCAAAAUUGCCAAUGGAACACAAAAGGUCUCCAAGAAAGGGCAUGCCCGACCAAUACACUCAUGACACAAGCGGUACCAGCCCUUGAAGAGCAAUUUUCCAUAUUUUCUAGUUCAAAUCAAUUAGAUAGUUGGAUGAAUUUCAUGAUAGUCGUUCGCCUUCACCUAAUACUAUAACGUUUUAUGUAAGUAAAUUGGCUUUUUCCUGACAUUUUACCAAUUAGCGGAAGGCUCUUUGUAAUAUUGUCUUUAAAUAGUUGUCCUCUCAAUAGACACACAUCCCAACAAAUGAGCAUGUAAAUUUCAGGAAAUUUUAGAAAAAGUGGACGAGUGAGAUUUCUGGAACACAAAAGGUCUCCAAGAAAGGGCCUGCCCGACCAAUACACUCAUGACACAAGCGGUGCCAGCCCUUGAAGAGCAAUUUUCCAUAUUUUCUAGUUCAA